UUGUAUCACUGGUAUGAUAAAAGUAAACAAUUGUGUUGGAGUUUUGACAAUAAGCAGAUGAGAGUAAAAAAUUGUGUGUGUGGUGAAAGUAAACAGUUUGGAUACAUAUUGGUGUGGUGAAAGUAAACAGUUUGGAUACAUAUUGGUGUCUUGAAAGUAAAUAAUUAUUUUGAUGACAAUUUUUUUUUUUGCCAGUGGCAUAUAUUUAGCAGUUAGUUUAAUGGUUACUGGCAAAAAUUCCAGCUGCAUUCACAAACUGAAAAAAAAUAAAAAUUGACUAAUAUAAGAACAAAAUCCAGUCAUAAGGGUUGGACUGGGGGUGGCUGGCAGUAUUUAUGUUACUUACUCAGACAGUGGAUGGAUGCUAGUAGAUACAACUAGUCAGCCCGAUCUAUGCCACUCACCUAUAACAGCUACAAUUCUGUAAAAUCUCACUAAAAUGAGUGGAGAGAUGUUGGAAUAUUUUUAUGCCAUAAAGAUUAAGAUUAUGUUCAGGUUAAUAUGCUUUUUUUUGCCCUUACAAAAAUCUGCUUUAAUUUUCACAUUGCUUAAUAAAAGCCCUUUCGAUUGUCUAUUUUGACAUGUUUGCCAGAUUUCACUUUCUCUGAGGCCUUUCUCAUUCUGCAUGAAGGCCCAUGCACCCUCUAAUAUGACCAAGGCACUGGGCAUGAAGGCUUAUACACAUUCUAGUAUGACCAAGGCACUCUUCAUUUUGUUGAAACAGCAAAGGAACUUUACUGAUAUCUCCAAAAACAUUCUGAAACAGAAACAUAAAAAAAUAAACAGAGUUUCUGAGAAUUCCUUACACUGUUUUCUUAUUUUUACAGGCUUUUGGUUGUUCUCAGGAAAGUUUUUUCAUGUGCACAUUUAUGUUGUUUUAUGAAAGUAAUUUUUUAUGUUAGUAUAUUGAAAGUAAACAGUUUGGUGUAGUGCAAGUAAGCAUUUUUGGUGUUGUGAAGGUUAACAGUUGUGUUGGUUUGAUAAAGAUUAACAGUUGUGUUGGUGUGAUGAAGGUUAACAGUUGUGUUGGUGUGAUGAAGGUUAACAGUUGUGUUGGCGUGAUGAAGGUUAGCAGUUGUGUUGUCGUGAUGAAGGUUAGCAGUUGUGUUGGCGUGAUGAAGGUUAACAGUUGUGUUGGUUUGAUAAAGUUUAACAGUUGUGUUGGCGUGAUGAAGGUUAGCAGUUGUGUUGGCGUGAUGAAGGUUAGCAGUUGUAUUGGUUUGAAGGUUAGCAGUUGUAUUGGUUUGAAGGUUAGCAGUUGUGUUGGUGUGAUGAAGGUUAGCGGUUGUGUUGGUGUGAUGAAGGUUAGCGGUCGUGUUGUCGUGAUGAAGGUUAGCAGUUGUGUUGUCGUGAUGAAGGUUAGCAGUUGUGUUGUCGUGAUGAAGGUUAGCAGUUGUAUUGGUUUGAAGGUUAGCAGUUGUGUUGGUGUGAUGAAGGUUAACAAUUGUGUUGGUAUGAUGGUUAGCAGUUGUUUUGGUGUGAUGGUUAGCAGUUGUUUUGGUGUGAUGGUUAGCAGUUGUUUUGGUGUGAUGGUUAGCAGUUGUUUUGGUGUGAAGGUUAACAGUUGUGUUGGCGUGAUGAAGGUUAGCAGUUGUGUUGGCGUGAUGAAGGUUAGCAGUUGUGUUGUCGUGAUGAAGGUUAGCAGUUGUGUUGUCGUGAUGAAGGUUAGCAGUUGUGUUGUCGUGAUGAAGGUUAGCAGUUGUGUUGGUGUGAUGAAGGUUAACAAUUGUGUUGGUAUGAUGGUUAGCGGUUGUUUUGGUGUGAUGAAGGUUAGCGGUUGUGUUGGUGUGAUGAAGUUUAGCGGUUGUGUUGGUUUGAAGGUUAGCGGUCGUGUUGGUUUGAAGGUUAGCGGUCGUGUUGGUUUGAUGAAGGUUAUCGGUCGUGUUGGUUUGAUGAAGGUUAUCGGUUGUGUUGGUGUUGUGAAAGGUUAGCGGCUGUGUUUGUGUGAUGACAGUUAGCGGUUGUGUUGGUUUGAUGAAGGUUAUCAGUUGUGUUGGUAUUGUGAAAGGUUAUCAGUUUUAGUGUUUUGAAAGUAAUUGAUUGUUUGAGUGUGGUGAAUGUAAAAAGGUAUUUCUAGUAGUAGUAGUGAAACUAAAUGUGUUAGUAUGUUGUUUGUAUAAACACCUGUUUAUUUGUCACACAUCAGCUACUUAUGGUUGUCAAUCUCUAUGCCUGGACCAGUUAGGUUGAAUUUAUUUAAAACUGAAAUUCUCUACUGGUUUCUAUAUGGAUUUUGUUACCAACAUCAGCUUAUAUCUUUUCAAUUUAAGUAAUCAUUUAAUAUUGUCUGUUAUAUUUCACAUAUAACAAUAAGUAGAUUAAUUUCACAGAGAAUUAAAAGUACUUCUGACAUAUGAUAACAGCUUACUUCUGUACAUUACGUACUAUGUUAAAUAAAUGUAAUCUGAGCCUAUCC
rnacentral:misc_RNA from 1 species